rnacentral:rRNA from 1 species
GAGUGGCGGACGGGUGAGUAACGCGUGGGUAACCUGCCUCAUACAGGGGGAUAACAGCUGGAAACGGUUGCUAAUACCGCAUAACCCGCUAGGGCCACAUGGCCUGGACGGAAAAGAUUUUAUCGGUAUGAGAUGGACCCGCGUCUGAUUAGCUAGUUGGAGGGGUAACGGCCCACCAAGGCGACGAUCAGUAGCCGACUUGAGAGAGUGAUCGGCCACAUUGGGACUGAGAUACUGCUCAGACUCCUACGGGAGGCUGCAGUCGAGGAUCAUUUGCAAUGGGCGAAAGCCUGACAAUGCGACGCUGCGUGGAGGAUGAAGGCCUUCGGGUUGUAAACUCCUGUCAUAGGGGAACAGGCGAUCCGACCCAAUACGUCGGUGAGUUGAGUGUACCCUAAGAGGAAUUGGCGGCUAACUCUGUGCCAGCAGCCGCGGUAAUACAGAGGCCAAGAGCGUUGUUCGGAUUUACUGGGCGUAAAGGGCGCGUAGGCGGUCUUGCGUGUCAAGUGUGAAAUCUCCGGGCUCAACCCGGAAAGUGCGCUUGAAACUACAGGACUCGAGUCUGGGAGAGGGAAUCGGAAUGCAGGGUGUAGCGGUGAAAUGCGUUGAUAUCCUGCAGAACACCGGAGGCGAAGGCGGAUUCCUUGAACAGCACUGACGCUGAGGCGCGAAAGUCGGGGGAGCAAACAGGAUUAGAUACCCUGGUAGUCCCGACCUUAAACGGUGCACACUCGGGGUGGGGCCAUCUCACCGGUCCCGUCCCUUAGCUAACGCGUUAAGUGUGCCGCCUGGGGAGUACGGCCGCAAGGCUAAAACUCAAAGAAAUUGACGGGGGCCCGCACAAGCAGAGGAGCAUGUGGCUUAAUUCGAUGCAACGCGAAGAACCUUACCUGGAUUUGACAUCGUCGGCAAUGCCCUAUGAAAGUAGGGCGGAGGUUAUCCGAUAGACAGGUGCUGCAUGGCUGUCGUCAGUUCGUGCCGUGAGGUGUUUGGUUAAGUCCACCAACGAACGCAACCCCUUUGACAUGUUGCCAGCGGGUCAUGCCGGGAACUCGUGUCAUACUGCUAGUUUACGCUAGAGGAAGGUGGGGAUGACGUCAAGUCAGUAUGGCCCUUACAUCCAGGGCUGCACACGUGCUACAAUGGCCGGUACAGAGGGACGCAAGACCGCAAGGUGGAGCCAAUCCCAGAGAGCCGGCCUCAGUUCAGAUCGGGGUCUGCAACCCGACCCCGUGAAGUCGGAUUUGCUAGUAACGGCGUAUCAGCUACGACGCCGUGAAUGCGUUCCCGGGCCUUGCACACACCGCCGGUCA